UCUGUACCUCUCUAUUUGAAACAUGUGUUGUCAUUCUCUUUCAGGGAAUGCAAAGUCGACCCCUAACACCGCAGGACCAGGCUCCAAUUCUACAAUUCCAGAUCAAUGUUCUGGCAAAGCCGGCAGGAGAGCAUGCAUUGAAUAAAACGACUUUCUGACUCUGACUCCCUUUCCACCCAUUUUCCAUUUAUAUGCAUGCUCAAACUUUCAGUCAUUGUGACUCAUAAAUUCGGAAACACUUUGGGGCACCCUGAUGCAUCUUUGUCUGCACAAGCGUGAUAUUUCACCCAGAGGGUAAACAACGUUGAGAAAGUUCAGCCAGGCUUUGGCUUUGGCAAUGUUCCUGAAAGUUGGCACUAGUUGACCCUGAUUGUGAUUGGAUCCCAUUCGACUCAUUCGAGAGUGGACCGUUAUUUAGUGGUGGGCUAUAACGCUUCGGGGUCCAUUUGGGUCACGCAUUGGUGAGACAAGGGUGCUUCGGGCAUUUUAAUUAAGGAAUCCCCCCCCCCCCCUCCCCAAGAUCACCACAAGAUUACUUAAGCUUGUACUACGGAACAUUCCCACUAGCGUCUUGGAAUAUGUAUACUGAUCAAACCACCUCAGUUUGGUACCGACCUGGUUAUAUUUGUCCUGACUUGAGAUUGACUGAGUAUCGUAAAACAAGGGAGGUAUCAAUGAACGUGUUCGGUGGUACCGAAUGAUUUCAUCGAUCAACGAGCCUCUGUCCCGGAAUCCUUUACUGGAUAGUUUAUGAUGUAAGCUACACAGUGGAUGUGUCGGUAUGUUGAUCAAUGAGCACAGCUGAGAACCUUUUUAAGGGGAUCUGCCUAUCCAUGAUUUGUUUUUUCCAUUGCAGAUCCAGGCAUGGACCCAUCAUUUAUUCGUCUGACCACCACGAACCUCGCCGUCUCCUCAAGGCCAUUUCGAAAUUCAGUGGUUCUCGAGCUGGCUGAAGGUUUGGCAUCAGUCCAGCGGGCUUAAAGCAUUGAAAUUUGAUCCCAUAACAUACUAAAUUUCAGAAACCUUUCACGGGAAUGAAAUGCAACAAUGUCGACCACCCUUCUUGAUGUUUGUAGUUUGUUUUGGUGGAAAGGCAAUCAUAGAAACCUUUGAUACACGAGGAAUGUCAACUGAUUAGCUCACGUUCUGAUGUUGGGACCAAAGGCACAAACGUGGUACUUGACAAAGUUCCCAAAAAACAUUUCCAAAUACCGACGAGCAGUCGGUAAGAAAAAGAAAGACCACGUUCAUUUUGAUUGCGGUAUUUCGGCCUUAGGAGCAUAUUUGAAGGUUAGGCCCCUCCCUCCUCUCUCUGUUCAAGAUGAAGAGGAUUGGAAUUUUCUCUCAUUGUCCUCCUGGUCAUGGGUAUCUCACAAUAAAGGACCAGACCAUCAUUUCAUUGAACGCCUACUUUCAAAAGGAUGGACCGCUUAUCACAGGAGAAUUAUUGGGCAUCAUUUUUCACACCGAGACAUCCCAGGUGUGGGCUGCAGUUGUCUGUCAUUGACAUACUAUAUUUUCCAUUUCAUUUGGAUCGUGGAUCGUUGUCCCGAAUGUGGCAAUUGGGCGCUCUUCCGACGUACGAAAGUGCAAGACGAGUAGGUGUAAAGACCCAAGGUUAAG